CCUCAACCAAACCAUUAUUAAGUUGAUAAGCGUGAGAGUGCUUUGAACACUCUUUCGUGGCCUUCCACAUAUAAAGUGUGUGCAAAGUGUGUGCUUUGAACACUCGUACACCGGCUUCACCCUAUCAUGGGGGAGUACAAAGUGUGUGCUUACACUCAGGAGGAGUCUAUAUGCAUACUUGAUGAUGUGAGACGUAGGCAACGAGAAUGAUCAACAUCAUAUCAUUGUGAGGUUGUUCUUGAACCCCUACCCGAACUUGCAUGGUGGGAAUGACUUAACUAAGUGCAAUGGAGCCAACAUCAUAUCAUUGUGAGGUAACAUUCUCUAGAGGCCAAAUAAGAUGGGUACUUGCAAGAGAUG
rnacentral:lncRNA from 1 species